rnacentral:lncRNA from 1 species
UUAAAAUGCUAAAAGAAGAAGAAACAGUGGACAGCAAGAAUACACACAUUCAUGUUUGCUUAUAUAUGGGUAAAGAAACUCAGGAAAGUUACAGGAGGAGCUAAUAACAGUGGUUAAUUACAAUGGUAGAGGAGAGGCUUGGCAGAUAAGGGACUCGUUUGCAGAUAUGACUUUCCUUUGUGUACAUUUCUAUAUAUUAUUUUACUUCUUCUGAAAAUGCCACAUAAUUUGCAAUAAAUGAUUCACUCCUUAGCUCCAAAAGCAAGUCCUUUAUCAAAAUGCAAAUGUUCCAGAGGGAUGUAGCCAGAUUCUGUGGACCGCCGUCUUUUUCACCCUUAAGAAUCCGUCGCUAUGAUUUCUCUUCCUCUGCUUGGAGACCUUUAGAGAGCCAGCCUGCAGCUGCUCAGAGCAUUGACUACUAAACAGCUCACAGUUGCUAUUGCUGAAAAUGCCCGGUGGUUAUGCCUUGCCUGACCAGGGGUAGCCCACAGCUGAUGACAGGCCCCCUUGCCUCAAGGUGGGACAACUUCGGUGGUGCCAUUCAUAUCCAGAGCUGCCUGGAAUCAGGCCGAGGCUGGACAUCAGCCGACCCCGCAUCUUUGCUGAGUUUAUUCCUCUGCUGUACUUCCCUCGCUUCCCUCACCUCCUUCUUGGUUUCUCCUGAGAGCCUCCCUCAAUAAAUCACUUACCCCAGAAUCCUUGUCUCAGACUCCGCUUCUAGGACCCAACUUAAGACAUUCACAAAAUAAAUCACAUUGAUGGAAAACAGAUCCCAUUCUCCAAAAUGAAUAACCAGUAGGCACUUGUGACUAGCACAAGCAUCAGCAUAUCCACAUGGUGCUAAACUAACACCAACCCAAAGCAGAUAGUGCUGGGUGGACUCGGUACAAGUUAAUAGCUCAUGGGUCUCCAUCCCCAACACCUUCAGACCCAAGGCUCCAGGGCUGCCAGCCUGAGAACCCUAAGUCAUGAUUUUGGGCACUUUGGCUGGAUUUCCUAGCAACUGGCUGAGAGCAGGACAGGUAAACAGAGUUGGGAGGAGGAAGCAAAAAAGGCUAGAGUGGACAUCAGUUGACUUUGCCUGCCAUGGUAGAGACUUUCAGUCAUCCACCAUAAUCCAUCCCCAUUCUGCUGCACAGAAGUAUUGUGGCUGAGACACCUGCUUUUCUCCACCCCUCUAGUUAAUGUGACUAAAUUCUCCCUAUGGAAUGGGAAUGGAAGGGCCAUACCCAGGCCAGUGUCUUCAGGUAGGGGCUGUGACCCUUCCACACCUGUACCAGACACAAUCAUCAUCUCACUGGGUUUUGCCAGCUUUCAGGUCUAUGUGCUGAAAGCUGCUUACAGCUAACCUCUGCAGAUUUUCCUGGCACAGGAGGCAUGCUUGGCCAGUGCACAGGGCAAGUUGGAAGGGCCCUAAUGUCAGCAGCCUUCAACCAAUGAUGGAUGGAAAGUUGCAGACAGUGUCCUAUGCAUCUGCAGUGGGAUAACUCUGAGACGUGUGCUGUACUGCCUCCUAGAGGGCCCAGGGUGAUUAAGCACCAGUUACCCACAGCAGUAACUUCCUUGAUUCUGUUCCCCACAUGGGCACUUUUCUUCCUGUCACACCUCCCCAAUCCCCUGCAGAUACUUUCUGGGAUUGCUUCCUAAACAAUCCACUUGAACUUUUUUUUUUUUUCUUUUUUUUGACAUGGAGUAUUGCUCUUGUUGCCCAGGUUGGAGUGCAAUGGCACGAUCUUGGCUCACUGCAACUUCCGCUUCCUGGGUUCAAGCAAUUCUCCUGCCUCAGCCUCCUGAGUAGCUGGGAUUACAGGCGCCUGCCAUCACGCCUGGCUAAUUUUUGUAUUUUCAGUAGAGACGGGGUUUCGCCAUGUUGGCCACGCUGGUCUCAAACUCCUGACCUCGUGAUCUGCCCGCCUCGGCCUCCCAAAGUGCUGGGAUUACCGGCGUGAGCCACCGUGCCCAGCCCCACUUGAACUUUAAUCCUUGCCUCGGAAUUGGCUUCUGGGGAAACCAAAAAUAUAUUAAAAAAAGAGAGACCAGGACCUUAAAAAGAGCCCAAGUUGUUGAGCUCCCUGCCAAGUCACCCCCAGGUAUCUCUGCCCACCAGCUUGCAUGAGCCAGAUCCUCAGUGCAGGUUUUUCCAAUCAGUCAUUUGUUCUUCCACCCAACGCUCAAGAUUUGCUUCUUCAAGACAACUCUCUGAUCAGCUGAGACCCAUAGACACCCAGCUUCUACCACACAUAUGAUGGCAUUAUCCUAGGGCAUGGCAGAGCAACGCAAGGGAAAACUCUGGGCCCCCAAGUGAUGUCAUGGAGGAGAACUCUCAACCCAGAACUACUACGUGAGAAACAACGCUCUCUCUUCUUUAAGCCAUAGGUGUGUUGGGAAUCUUUGUUACAGCAGCACGCCUGAUCUUUUGUUUUGUUUUGUUUUGUUUUAGAGAUGGAGUCUUGCUCUUUCGCCAGGCUGGAGUGCAGUGGUGCGAUCUUGGCUCACCAUGUUGGUCAGGCUGGUUUCAAAUCCCUGACCUCAAGUGAUCCUCCCACCUUGGCCUCCCAAAGUGCUGGGAUUACAGGUGUGAGCCACCGCACCCGGCCCAGCCAUGCCUUGUCUUAACUAGCAUAGCCGCCCAACGUCCACUUCUUUUGGCCAUGUUGUCCUGAUUCUGCUGGAGAAUCCCUUUCCCACUGCUCCCAGACCAGUGGUGUAGCUGACCUGCGCUCUCUCCACUCAAUUCAGGGGAGGGAGGGGUUUAGGCCUGGGCUAAGAGAGCUGCACAUUUCCCAGGGCACAGUGAUUAGUUGAGGGUGGGUCCCAGAGCCAAAUCUGCCCAAGAUCUUAGCCUGAAAGAGAAACCCUCCUGCUGAGUGACUGCACUGUGAGGCAGAAGUCCAGAGCUGUGGGUGGCCAUCCAGCCUCCAUUUGCGCCUGCCUGAGAAAGAAGCCACCAUGGGGGAAAUCGAGCUAAAAGACGGAGAGGGAGGUAAGAGAGGAUGACAUCACAUAAGCACCAGAUCUGGCCACCCCUGAAACUGGAACAACCCUAAGCUUUACAGCUACUACAUUCCCUUUUCUGCUGAAGUUGUUUUACACUGGGUUUCUGUCUCUUGCAACCAAGAGCUCUGUUAAAUAAAAACCUGACCCUAAGGAGAACGUUAGCUGGUUCACAAUUCCCUGUGCAAAACAGGCACAGGUCAGCUGCCCCAGCCUGUCGUUUGGAUAUUCCUUUCUAAGAACGCUCACUUUUGUUGUCUACAUGACCCAGAUAACCAAGGAGAAAGCAAAUCAACCGCCUUCCAGCGGCGCCUUCCUUGGCAGCAAGUGCUAAGAGAGAACACAAUGUGAGUACUCUGCCCUCUGGAGUCAGGGUUGAUCCUCAGCACUUGCUGUCCUGGGAGGCUGCACCUGUGACACUUGAGUGCCAGGUUCAACCCCUACUGCUGCUGCUGCUGCCUGAAUGGGGCCAUUUAGACUGUUGAGUGCUACAGCCUCAGCCCAGGAACCCGGAGCUUCACAUGAGGCAGAGCAGGGCCCCAGGGUCCCUGAAACUUGCCAGUUCAAACAGCAGAGGGGUGAGGACUCCCCAGUCAGCCCUGGUCUCAUACCUGCCUCUGCAUGGUCCCAGUCCAGCCUGAGGCCUUUGCUUUCUUUUUUGAAGGGAAGGUGAGGAGAGAGGGGGAAAAUAGAGGUGUUCUGACUAGACUUAGGAUUCCUGGCCUCUGCCUCUGACCGCCAGAGGACAGCCUCUGCAGUUGCCUCAUCUACUCAUGAAAACAGGCCUGUGACCCCAGGGGUGCUCUGAGGAUUCUUCCAGAAAACAUCUGCCCAGCUAGGACUACCUAGCUCACUGCCCAAAAAGGGUUCAUUUCCUUUCCUUCUGAAACAAAAGCGCUUAAUUGGAAGAGAAGCAUUGACUCAAGCUAUAGGAUAUGCCACUUAAAAUGUCCAGAUCUUGGCACAAGGCCUGGCGCACAGUGUGGGAGAGAAGGAGAGAAGAAGGUGGAAGGAAAGGAGGGAGGGGAAAGAGGAAGCAGGGAGGGAGAAAAUAAGACAAGGGCCUCCUCAUCUGGAUGCUUCCCUAGACCAAGAAGUGGCCCAGGUGGUGCCCAGGGGACAGGGAGUGGGCAAUAAAAGACAAUGGGGUGUAGGUGAUAGGGUGUAGAUGAUCAGGGUAUAGGUGAUCAGGAUGUAGGUGAUGGGGUGUAGAUGACUGGGGUAUAGAUGAUUGAAGUGUAGGUGAUGGGGUAUAGAUGAUCGAGGUGUAGGUGAUGGGGUAUAGAUGAUUGAGGUGUAGGUGAUGGGGUGUAGGUGAUGGGGGUCAAGGUGAUCAAGGUGUAGGUGAUGGGGUGUUGGUGAUGGGGUGUAGAUGAUUGGGAUAUAGAUGAUCGAGAUGUAGGUGAUGGGGUAUAGAUGAUCAAGGUGUAGGUGAUGGGGUAUAGAUGAUUGAGGUGUAGGUGAUGGGGGUCAAGGUGAUCAAGGUGUUGGUGAUGGGGUGUUGGUGAUCGGGGUGUAAGUGAUGAGGUAUAGGUGGUGGGGUGUAGAUGAUUGGGGUGUAGGUGAUGGGGUGUAGGUGACGGGUAUAGGUGAUGGGGUAUAGAUGAUCAGGGUGUAGGUGAUUGGGGUGUAGGUGAUGGGGUGUUGGUGAUUGGGGUGUAGGUGAUCAGGGUGUAGGUGAUGGGGUAUAGGUGAUUGGGGUGUAGGCAAUGGGGUGUAGGUGAUUGGGGUCAAGGAGAUAGAGGUGUAGGUGAUGGGGUGUUGGUGAUUGGGGUGUAGGUGAUCAGGGUGUAGGUGAUUGGGGUGUAGGUGAUCGGGGUGUAGGUGACCAGGGUAUAGGUGAUCAGGGUGUAGGUGAUCAGGAUGUAGGUGAUGGGGUGUAGACGAUCAGGGUGUAGGUGAUGGGCUGUUGCUGACCAGGGUGUAGGUGAUCAGGGUGUAGGUGAUCCGAACUUCCUACUCAAUUCAGGCAACAGCUCCCAGCCUGAGGCAAAUACCCCCCGAGGCAGUCAGGGUCUCACCUCCCAUGGCUCUGACGCAGGCCUCCAAGGUGAGGAGAUGGAGGUAGCAGAGGUCACUUCACUCAGCUGUCACACACCCUGAGGGAACUCCUGUCACUGUUAUCCCACCUGCAAGUGAGGAGCCAGCAUUUCUCAUGCUCCAGGGUUGGCCACAGAGCCCAUUCAAGGGAGGGAGAAGAGCCUUCGGCCAGCGCAUCCUAACCGCAGAAAGCCAAGACCUCUGCAGAAAAAGAGACCAGGCCCAUAAAAAGAGAUCCAUGAGUUGAGUUCCCUGCCAUGCCACCCCCAGGCAUCUCUGCCCACCAGCCUGCAUGAGCCAGCCCCUCAGUGCAGGUUUUUCCAAUUGGCCGUUUGUUCUUCCACCCAACACUCAAGAUUUGCUUCUCAGCCUGGACAACAUAGCAAAACCCCAUCUCUACAAAAAAUACAAAAAUUAGCUGGGCAUAGUGGCACACACCUAUAGUCCCAGCUACUCGGGAGGCUGAAGUGGGAAGAUUACCUGAGCCUGGGAGGUCAAGGUUGCAGUGAGCCAUGAUCAUGCCACUGUACUCCAGCCUGGGUGACAGAGUGAGAACUUGUCUCAAAAACAAAAAAAGAGAGGAAGAUCUGCUUCUUCAAACCCACACAACUAAUAUAAAGUAAUCAACCUCCCCACCUCAAUAACCUGAAGUUAAACAUCACACAAUAAGCCCUGAACAGAGAGCUGUAGGUCAAUGUUCCAUUUUGCUUUUAAAAGCUUCACAAGAACAUUUCAUUUAUUAAAAUAGUUUCUGUAAACUCUUUCAGAAUAACAAAAUUCACUUGCCUUGCUUAAACAGCAUUUCAAGUAGAAGUAUUUUUAUUUCAAGGCACCAUAAAAUGAUGAUCUCUCUAAGAAAUACCUCUCCUUC